GCUUUUUAUUUUCAUCGUCACUGGUUCUCGGCCUUCGAAAUUUCGGAAAAACCAAUCGAGCAUUUGGCAUAUUGUGACGAGUCUCUGCUUGGUCCUCGACAGGAUAAAUCGAUUGAACUGGCUCGUUCGCGGUCGAAAUUCUCGCGUGUUUGGGCCAACGCAGCCAAGGAAUUCCCCUGAAGAGGGAUGACCGGCAGGUGUACAAAAGGCGUACGAGAGGAUCCGUUCCACCUGCGGUUUCCACGUUUCAAGGUCCCUUCGGAAAAAGAAGGAGAGGCACGGUUGGUUGCGACAGUUUGUUCAGCCGAUGUAACAGGUCAGGCCAGCAGUAGGUCAGAAUUUUUCAAACGUGCUCGCAGGGUGUUCCGUCAGUAGGUGGUUGGCAAAAGGGUGCUACGUAUUCGGGGCGCAACGUUGAGAAUGACAAUGCGACUUCAGUUCGACAUUUUUACACACAGCGGAACGUUCAAAUCGUGGAAACAGGAGAAAGAACUGGCCGCAAUAGUACGUUGGUACGUAUAGUGGCAGCGGUGUGAAGACGAAGGAAGGCCUCGACCGUUGAUUGUUGGAGCCGAUGUAAACUGAGCCACGGAACGUAAGAGUCGGGCAGGCUGGUGUAUAGGCGAAUAAACUAACCAGUCAGCUCCAACCAGUCAGUCUAGAAGACGCCGAGGGCCUGUGCUCGAUCGGAGUUCCGCCUGUUGUUCGUCCGAGACGCCAGGACAUUCCACGAAAUGCCCUGCCGUGGCCGUUCCACUCCUCCCUCCAUUUUUCCCCUCUUUUCCUCUUCCACUGCUCCCCGAGCCGUUUCCACUUGCUGCCCGAACGUUCAAGAGAUCCGUAAGCAGCGCACUCGACGA